rnacentral:rRNA from 1 species
CCAACAGGGAUUGCCCUAGUAACGGCGAGUGAAGCGGCAACAGCUCAAAUUUGAAAUCUGGCGUCUUUGGCGUCCGAGUUGUAAUUUGCAGAGGGCGCUUUGGCAUUGGCAGCGGUCCAAGUUCCUUGGAACAGGACGUCACAGAGGGUGAGAAUCCCGUACGUGGUCGCUAGCCUUUACCGUGUAAAGCCCCUUCGACGAGUCGAGUUGUUUGGGAAUGCAGCUCUAAAUGGGAGGUAAAUUUCUUCUAAAGCUAAAUACUGGCCAGAGACCGAUAGCGCACAAGUAGAGUGAUCGAAAGAUGAAAAGCACUUUGGAAAGAGAGUUAAAAAGCACGUGAAAUUGUUGAAAGGGAAGCGCUUGCAGCCAGACUUGCCUGUAGUUGCUCAUCCGGGUUUUUACCCGGUGCACUCUUCUACGGGCAGGCCAGCAUCAGUUUGGGCGGUUGGAUAAAGGUCUCUGUCAUGUACCUCCUUUCGGGGAGAUCUUAUAGGGGAGACGACAUGCAACCAGCCUGGACUGAGGUCCGCGCAUCUGCUAGGAUGCUGGCGUAAUGGCUGUAAGCGGCCCGUCUUGAAACACGGACCAAGGAGUCUAACAUCUAUGCGAGUGUUUGGGUGUCAAGCCCGAACGCGUAAUGAAAGUGAACGGAGGUGGGAACCUUUCGGGGUGCACCAUCGACCGAUCCUGAUGUCUUCGGAUGGAUUUGAGUAAGAGCAUAGCUGUUGGGACCCGAAAGAUGGUGAACUAUGCUUGAAUAGGGUGAAGCCAGAGGAAACUCUGGUGGAGGCUCGCAGCGGUUCUGACGUGCAAAUCGAUCGUCAAAUUUGGGCAUAGGGGCGAAAGACUAAUCGA